rnacentral:RNase_MRP_RNA from 2 species
GUUCACUUUGCAAAGAACACCUCUCGAAGAUGUUUAUAACAUUUUUGGGGAAAGUCCCCGGAAGACCUUUGUAGAAAUACAACCUGUGUAAUACAGGCUACUCCGUUGUCUAUCGCUAUGAUCUUUUGGGAGCAUGGUGGAUUUCUGAGUAUUUUCUUCCUAACAUAGUUAUGGUGUUGCUUGAUUUUAUCUUGAAACUCAAUGGGGAUUACUCUUGCAGUGAG